rnacentral:rRNA from 1 species
AUAUUGCACAAUGGUGGAAACCCUGAUGCAGCGACGCCGCGUGAGUGAAGAAGGUUUUCGGAUUGUAAACCUCUGUCUUUGGUGACGAAAGAUGACGGUAGACAAAGAGGAAGCUACGGCUAACUACGUGCCAGCAGCCGCGGUAAUACGUAGGUGGCAAGCGUUGUCCGGAAUUACUGGGUGUAAAGGGAGCGUAGGCGGGAAGACAAGUUGAAUGUUUAAACUAUCGGCUCAACCGAUAAUCGCGUUCAAAACUGUUUUUCUUGAGUGAAGUAGAGGCAGGCGGAAUUCCUAGUGUAGCGGUGAAAUGCGUAGAUAUUAGGAGGAACACCAGUGGCGAAGGCGGCCUGCUGGGCUUUAACUGACGCUGAGGCUCGAAAGCGUGGGUAGCAAACAGG